rnacentral:rRNA from 1 species
AGCAGCCGCGGUAAUUCCAGCUCCAAUAGCGUAUAUUAAAGUUGUUGCAGUUAAAAAGCUCGUAGUUGAAUUUCGGGGUUAGUAGGUUGGUCAUGCCUCUGGUAUGUACUGGUCUCACUGAUUCCUCCUUCCUGAUGAGCCGUAAUGCCAUUAAUUUGGUGUUGCGGGGAAUUUGGACUGUUACUUUGAAAAAAUUAGAGUGUUUAAAGCAAGCUAACGCUUGAAUACAUUAGCAUGGAAUAAUGAAAUAGGACGUUCGAUCCUAUUUUGUUGGUUUCUAGGAUUGACGUAAUGAUUAAUAGGGAUAGUUGGGGGCAUUAAUAUUCAAUUGUCAGAGGUGAAAUUCUUGGAUUUAUUGAAGACUAACUACUGCGAAAGCAUUUGCCAAGGAUGUUUUCAUUAAUCAAGAACGAAAGUUAGGGGAUCGAAGACGAUCAGAUACCGUCGUAGUCUUAACCAUAAACUAUGCCGACUAGGGAUCGGAUGAUGUUAAUUUUUUAAUGACUCA